rnacentral:rRNA from 1 species
AGAGUUUGAUCAUGGCUCAGGGUGAACGCUGGCGGCGUGCUUAAGACAUGCAAGUCGAACGGACUUCCUUCGGGGAGUCAGUGGCGCACGGGUGAGUAACACGUAACUGACCUGCCCCAAAGUUGCGAAUAACCNUCCGAAAGGAGGGCUAAGACGCAAUGUGCUGUCCCCUCGUGUGGGGCCAGUAAAGGCUGUGACCGCUUUGGGAUGGGGUUGCGUUCCAUCAGCUUGUUGGUGAGGNAAAGGCUCACCAAGGCGACGACGGAUAGCCGGCCUGAGAGGGUGNCCGGCCACAGGGGCACUGAGACACGGGCCCGACUCCUACGGGAGGCAGCAGUAAGGAAUAUUGGUCAAUGGACGCAAGUCUGANCCAGCCAUGCCGCGUGAAGGAUGAAGGUCCUCUGGAUUGUAAACUUCUUUUAUCUGGGACGAAACCCCUGUUUCUACAGGGACUGACGGUACCAGAGGAAUAAGCACCGGCUANCUCCGUGCCAGCAGCCGCGGUAAUACGGAGGGUGCAAGCGUUAUCCGGAUUCACUGGGUUUAAAGGGUGCGUAGGAGGGCAGGGAAGUCAGUGGUGAAAUCUCCGGGCUUAACUCGGAANCUGCCGUUGAUACUCUCUGUCUUGAAUACCGUGGAGGUGAGCGGAAUAUGUCAUGUAGCGGUGAAAUGCUUAGAUAUGACAUAGAACACCAAUUGCGAAGGCAGCUCGCUACACGAAUAUUGACUCUGAGGCACGAAAGCGUGGGGAUCAAACAGGAUUAGAUACCCCCGUAGUCC